rnacentral:rRNA from 1 species
AUUGAACGCUGGCGGCAGGCCUAACACAUGCAAGUCGAGCGGAAACGAUCCUAGCUUGCUAGGAGGCGUCGAGCGGCGGACGGGUGAGUAACGCGUGAGAAUCUACCCAUGAGUGGGGGACAACCCGGGGAAACUCGGGCUAAUACCGCAUACGCCCUACGGGGUAAAGCAGGGGACCUUCGGGCCUUGCGCUGAUGGAUGAGCUCGCGUCGGAUUAGCUUGUUGGUGAGGUAAAGGCUCACCAAGGCGACGAUCCGUAGCUGGUCUGAGAGGAUGAUCAGCCACACCGGGACUGAGACACGGCCCGGACUCCUACGGGAGGCAGCAGUGGGGAAUCUUGGACAAUGGGGCAACCCUGAUCCAGCCAUGCCGCGUGUGUGAAGAAGGCCUUCGGGUUGUAAAGCACUUUCAGCAGGGAGGAAGGCUUACCCCUAAUACGGGUGAGUACUUGACGUUACCUGCAGAAGAAGCACCGGCUAAUUUCGUG